rnacentral:rRNA from 1 species
UACGUAGGUGGCAAGCGUUGUCCGGAUUUACUGGGCGUAAAGAGCGCGCAGGCGGUCGUUCAAGUCGCGUGUGAAAGCCCCCGGCUCAACUGGGGAGGGUCACGCGAUACUGAUCGACUCGAAGGCAGGAGAGGGUAGUGGAAUUCUCGGUGUAGUGGUGAAAUGCGUAGAUAUCGGGAGGAACACCAGUGGCGAAGGCGACUACCUGGCCUGUUUCUUGACGCUGAGGCGCGAAAGCUAGGGGAGCAAACGGG